GCCUCACUCCUUCCUGUGUCCGGCCUUCACGGCGACGCAACGUCCCGCCUCACGUGACCGGCGACCAGGUCCCUCCCCCCCAAUGACGGGCAGCGCCAAUGGCCAAUGGGACCGCGUCACAGAGGACCAGCCUCUCACUCAUGGCUAAUGCUGUUUAUCGACUUCAGCUCAGCAUUCAACACCAUCAUCCCCUUCAAACUGAUCACCAAACUCAACAACCUGGACAUCAACCCCUCCCUCUGAAACUGGAUAUUGGACUAUCUAACCAACAGACCUCACCUCCUCAACCCUCACCCUGAACACAGCGUUCCACAGAGCUGUGUGCUGAGCCCUCUUCUCUACUCCCUCCUCACCUACGACUGCACACCUGUACAUGGUUCCAACACCAUUCUCAAGUUUGCAGAUGACACAACUGUGAUUGGCCUCAUCAGCGACAACGAUGAGUCGGCCUAUAGGGAGGAGGUCCAGCUCCUGGCAGCAUGGUGCACCGACAACAACCUGGCUCUUAACACCAAGAAGACCAAGGAGCUCAUUGUGGACUACAGAAAGACUAAUGGUGGCACACACACCCCCAUCCAUAUCAACGGGACGGAGGUGGAACGUGUUUCCAGCUUCAAGUUUCUGGGUGUCCACAUCUCUGAAGACCUCUCUUAGACCCACAAUACCUCAACUCUGAUCAAGAAGGCUCACCAGCGUCUCUUCUUCCUGAGGAGACUAAAGCAGGUCUAUGUGUCUCCUCAGAUUCUGGUGAACUUCUACCGCUGCACCAUCGAGAGCAUCCUUACUAACUGUGUCACAGUAUGGUCUGGCAACUGCUCUGUCUCUGACUGGAAAGCACUGCAGAGGGUGGUGAAAACUGCCCGACGCAUCACUGGUUUCUCACUUACCUCCAUUAAGGCUGGCCAGAGCAAGCGAUGUCUGCGAAGGGAGCGCAGCAUCAUCAAGGACUGCUCUCACCCCAACCACAGACUGUUUACCCUGCUCCCAUCUGGGAGGCACUACAGGUCUCUCCAUUCCCGGACCAGCAUAGUCUAGUGUUCAAAUAUAUUCAGGAUCAGUUCCUGUGGAUUGGAGGAUAGCUAAUGUUAUCCCACUUUUCAAGGAAGGAGCGAGAGAGAAAACGGAGAAUUACAGACCAGUUAGCCUGAGUUCAGGUGUGGGAAAGAUGCUGGAGUCAAUUAUUAAAGAGGUAAUAAUGGGGCGUUGGAUUAGUCCAAAUCGACAUGGAUUUAUGAAAGGGAAAUCAUGCUUAACUAAUCUUCUGGAAUUUUUUGAGGAUAUGACAAGUAAAAUGAAUGAAGGGGAGCCAGUGGAUGUAGUGUAUCGAGACUUUCAGAAAGGCUUUGAUAAGAUCCCGCACGGGAGACUGGUGACUAAAAUUAGAGCACAUAGUAUUCGGGGUAUGGUGUUGACAUGGAUAGAAAAUUGGUUGACAGACAAGAAGCAAAGAGUAGGAGUGAGCGAGUUAUUUUCAGAAUGGCAGGCAGUGGCGAGUGGAGUGUCGCAAGGCUCGGUGUUGGGGCCGCAACUGUUUACCAUGUAUAUUAAUGAUUUGGAAGAGGGAAUAAGGAGCAACUCCCUAUAACUGUCUCUGUCCCCUCUCUCUCUGCCCUCACUCUUUACCCCCACCCUCCAUCUCAUAGAUGACCCUGCGAGUUGGGGGCUAUGCGUCAGUGGACAGGGUGGUUAUGGGGUAAAAGGAGCAAAUUAAUAAUAUUAAUAUAAUAUCAAGGAGGUAGUUAGUGUGUGUGUGUGGGGAGUUGUUAGUGUGUGUAGGGGGGUGGUUAGUCUGUGUGUGAGAUGCCGCAUGCCGCCGCCCCUAAACACCCCCCCCCCACGCAACCGCGCAUUGAGGGGAAGGGACCCAAUGGGUCCCCCUUGGUCUCCUAUCAUAUCUAUAUAAUUAAAAGUCUAAACUUGACCACUUCCUGUUUGCGCUAUAUAUUGAUUUUAGAAAAAACGCUACCAGUUACGGCUAUGAUUUUUGGCCAUCUUACUCAGAGUACCCCACCGCUCAUCAGGUGCAGAGGAUUUUUCCCAUCGAUGAAAAAUAGAAGUUCGUAGUAAACAAAUGUUGAGAUUCUCUCUCCUGCCAAUCACUGUCAAGAAGGCCACGCCCCUUCAGGGGCGGGUGCAGGAGCUAUAAAACCCAGAAGUCCGGACGUAGCUCUGUUGCUGCAGGAUGGUGAGCGAGAGAUCAUGACUCUCAGUCUGAGCUGGAAAUCUACAGAACACUUAGUGUCUACUGACCUCAAAGAGGCAUCAAGAGGCAGUGAGCAGCAGAACACAACAAGGGACACAACAAGAACUUAAUCAAUCUCAUCAUUUACAUUUAAAUUGUUGUUGUAUUUUAAGAGUUAUUCACAUUUUAAACUUUAUUAAAUCCUU